CGGAGUAAUAGGGGAGGGGGAGUGGGAGUGGGAGGAAGAUAGGCCAAAUUUAGAUGCUGUUGCAUCCCAGAUUCUAUGGGAGUUAACUAUGGCCGGGCACGUGGACCGUAAUAUCACUCUGCUCUCUCUAGGAACCCACAUGUAGUAUUGGGGGAGGUCCUCUCCUGUCAUUAAGGACUCCAAAUCGACCCAUUUCCUAAAAUCCAC